AAAGAUACAGAUUAUGACGCAUCUUAAAGAGAAGAACGCCGUCAGCCGAUUGUCAACAACAGUACUUGUUUCAGUUAAUUUAACAAGACAAACAAUACCAAGGAGCUAUGAAUCAAUGAAUACUCGAGGAUGUACUACAGCAGUAUUACAAGGUAUGGGCAGAGGAGUUGACUAUUGAUAAUGACUGAUACUGGAAUUAAUGAAGUAACCUACAUGUAGUGUCCAAUCUCUAUGUGGAGUUUGCCUAUCAGACAGUCCAUUUUUACAUGUACCAAAAAAUAAUUAGCUCCCCAGAUGUAAGUGGAAGUGAAGUUAUACAUGUUAUAUGUUUCGAUGAAAUGAAUGACUUGAUUAGAUAUACAUGUAGUGGAGACCCUAUAGAUACAGUACAUGUAACUGGAACUGUAGGAAGUAUUCAAAGAGUCUGAUUGCUAAGUAUGCAUUACAGGAUUUUAUCAUUGGAGCAACAUCUUAGGAGGAGAAGUGCAAAUGUAUGAAGGAAUCCUUGGGUACAAAUAGCAAUUAUAUGCAGAAGAGGACUCUUAAACAUUAUUAACAGACAUGUAGUCAUAGUAGUGGUGUUUUCAAGAAACGUAAACCAACUGGAAUUAACAAUUGUGUAUAUUUUUUCAACCACAAGUACUUUCAGAAUAUAAUACAAUUCAAAUUCAAAUUAUUGUGUCAACAUACAAGUUACAGUAAAAAAAUGAAAAUG